UCCGAGUUGACCCCGGCAGUCUCCCAUGAGUCCCCGGCAUAACCCGCUGGCAACAUAGGAUAAGGGUUGCGCUCGUUGCGGGACUUAACCCAACAUCUCACGACACGAGCUGACGACAGCCAUGCACCACCUGUACACCGACCACAAGGGGGGCACUGUCUCCAGUGCUUUCCGGUGUAUGUCAAGCCUUGGUAAGGUUCUUCGCGUUGCGUCGAAUUAAGCCACAUGCUCCGCUGCUUGUGCGGGCCCCCGCCAAUUCCUUUGAGUUUUAGCCUUGCGGCCGUACUCCCCAGGCGGGGCGCUUAAUGCGUUAGCUGCGGCACGGAGGACGUGGAAAGCCCCCCACACCUAGCGCCCAACGUUUACGGCGUGGACUAC
rnacentral:misc_RNA from 1 species